UUGGUGAAUAUGCAUAGACGAUGACUAUUCUCCCAUAUGUGCAUUGAACUUUUCCCUAAAGACGGAUAACUACAUUACAAAGUCGAAAUGGAAUAAAAAAGUUGAACUGCUCAACACAAAUUUUUCAUAGCUAGUUGUAUAAUUAUUAAAACAUUAGAAUAUAAUUCAAGGUCAAAUGUUGCAGGUGUUUAGCCAUUUUCAUCUCCCGGAUUUUUCUUUCUCCACACGAUUUCCAACUUUGUCACGUGUUUUGCUUUUGAGAUUUUCAAUAAUUAGUUGAAUUACCCUUGGAUUGCUCGAUUAAAUCUUUUUAAUGAUUGUUCUAUAUGUGGCUAUUAAUAUAACUCUGACAAAAUAAGUUAAUUUUAUCAUUUCUCACCCUAAUUUUAACAAAGAAUCACUAAUAAGGUACCUUGAAUCCCACCAGGAAUUUAUAUUUCUGUCAAUUAUCCCCACCGAUUCAAAAUAUAUGUGGUUUUCAGAUUCAUUGAUCAGGUCAAACUUUGUUAGCUUUAACUAAAAAUAUGCAAAAAUUUAUAUAGAUUGAUGAUAUAAGAUAGAGGUUACUAUAGGUUCAUCAGGAAAAAAACUACUUUCAAAAAAGGGAAGAAAUUUGUAAAAACCCACACCAUAUAUGUCACUGGCAAUAUUCUCCAAUAAGCCACUUUGUUGCAAAUCUACACCCCAUCUACUCCAUUAUGUUGCAAAAAAAAAAUGCAUAGUGCGCACAUGCUUAUGAACUGAUUCCACCCGUUUUCGGUGAUAGAGCCACGAAAGGCUAAGCAGACUGAGUCAAGCUUGUUCAAGUACUUGUAUUAAACUUCAUCAUAUUAUAGUAAAAUUUUU
rnacentral:lncRNA from 1 species